rnacentral:rRNA from 1 species
UACAGAGGGUGCGAGCGUUGUCCGGAAUCAUUGGGCGUAAAGGGUGCGUAGGCGGCGCGGUAAGUCGGGUGUGAAAUCUCGGAGCUUAACUCCGAAACUGCAUUCGAUACUGCCGUGCUUGAGGACUGGAGAGGAGACUGGAAUUUACGGUGUAGCGGUGAAAUGCGUAGAUAUCGUAAGGAAGACCAGUGGCGAAGGCGGGUCUCUGGACAGUUCCUGACGCUGAGGCACGAAGGUCAGGGGAGCAAACGGG